rnacentral:rRNA from 1 species
GACGAACGCUGGCGGCGUGCUUAACACAUGCAAGUCGAACGAGUGGGAACGGGUGAGUAACACGUGGGUAACCUCCCAUCAGAGGGGAUAACACUUGGAAACAGGUGCUAAACCGAUACUGCUGGAUGGACCCGCCGUGCAUUAGCUAGUUGGUGGGGUAACGGCUCACCAAGGCCACGAUGCAUCGUCGACCUGGGAGGGUGAUCGGCCACACUGGAACUGAGACACGGCCCAGACUCCUACGGGAGGCAGAAGUAGGGAAUCUUCGGCAAGGGGCGCAAGUCUGACCGAGCAACGCCGCGUGAGUGAAGAAGGUUUUCGGGUCGUAAAGCUCUGUUGUUAGAGAAGCGGUAUCUAACCAGAAAGCCACGGCUAACUACGUGCCAGCAGCCGCGGUAAUAC